AUGGUUUUCGAAGACGAAAGCAGUGAGGAGACGUCGAGCCUGCCGUACAUGCACUCGACCUCAUCCACGGACGGGCUUAACCAGGUCCCUUUCAGCGUUGAAGAUCAAGAUCACCAGGGGCUUGAGCUGGAAACGAUGUCGCCAUGUGAGAAGCACGGGAAGGCAUCUGAGAGGCUUGUCGCAUUUGAAGGAACAGACACAGGGAGAAGGUUCUUAGCAUGUGCAGAGCCGGAAGGGCAGAAUUGUGGGUUUGUUGAAUGGGUUGAUCACCAGUGGCCCCCAACAAUGCAAAAUGCAUUGUUGAAGCUGUGGGCAAUGGUUGAAGAUAGCAGGAGUGCUAGGGUGAAUGAUAAUCUUGAAAGUUCUUUCACUAUCCACCAUCUGACAGAAGAGAAGAACAAGUUGGAGGCCAACUAUGACAAGCUAGUCCAAGAUGUGCAUGAGCUUAUGAGCUUCCAAGAGGAGAGGGUGGUGGAUUUCAGACAUCUGCAGUCUGCCAUUACAUAUCAGCAUGAAUGCAGAAGUGAACUGGUGGCUGAUAUGAAGGCACAGAUGGCAAAGAGAGAUGCAGAGUCUGAGAAGCUUAAGCAGAAUUAUGAAGUGCUACUGAACCUGACAAGAGCUCAAGCUACAGUCAUCCAGAACCUGAAGUUGAAGCAUAUUACAGACAAGCAAUUGCUUAGUGAAGUUAAGAUGAACUUGGAGUUGAAGAAUGCAGAGCUCACAAAGUCUGAGGAGAAGCUCACCCAAGAUAAGCUAGAGUUGAAGUUUCAGGUUUCAGAUUUGCUUAAGGGAAAGGAAAAGCAUGGUGAAGAGAUGGUGCAGCUAGAGCUUUAG
rnacentral:rRNA from 1 species